GGGUCCCUAAGAAGAGUCACUUCCUUGCGCUGCUUCUCUUUUACACUCUUUCCUCGACCAUUGCCUAGGCGUAGUGUCAUGUGCUGACCCGCUUUCUGCCAUUCUUGUUCGACGCCAGGGACGGCAUGGACCAUCACUGCCCUCCCUCCCCUCUUGCCAGGGGAAUCAGUGUCCCCGGAAGCUCCGCCACUCGCGUCCCAACUGCGGCCCGAACAGGUCCAAGUGGCAGCCAAGGAAAACAAGCUCGCAGCAGAGUGCGCAGAGCGACGGUGGGGGCCCUGCCCCAGGGGGGCGGUUGCCCUUGGGUGGCACUGGGGCCCCGGGGCGAACGCAAGUAGACUCACUCACCACCAGAUCGGACCAAAACCAGCAUCUACAGACUGAUAUGUACACCAUCUUUGCUUUUAAUGAGAAGAAACAGCCUCCAUGUCCAGCCUUACAGAGACAAGAUCUUUGAAAGGAAUUUACAAUCAUCUGCACUAAAAUGAAGCAUACCUGUAUCUAACAACCUCCUCAGACAGCGGGGAACAUUCUACACAGCACUUGGAGCUUCCUGGAGAGGUGCACCCUGGGAUGCCUUGGCACACACUUUGAGAAAGACAGCACAAAUAUGUGUGGCAUCAUGGAUUUCUACACAUAAGACAAACCCAGACAGAAUCUCAGAGCAAUGGGUGCAGGACACCAGCCUCCGCUUGCCUGUGAAGCCAGCAUCACAUCCCCUUGUCAUAGGUGAAGCACCAGCUGUGAAAUCCAAGGGCCCAAGCAUCUGGUUGGAUAGAGCCCUUGAAGUCUGGAAUUCUGUGAUCCUCAAACCAAAGGGUCAUAGCUGGGGAAUCACAGAAUAAUAAGAAAAUGAAAUUUGGAAAUUUAAAAAGAAAUCACA